CGAUGGCGACCGGCGCACGGGUGAGUAACACGUAUCCAACCUGCCGAUGACUCGGGGAUAGCCUUUCGAAAGAAAGAUUAAUACCCGAUGGCAUAGUUCUUCCGCAUGGUGGAACUAUUAAAGAAUUUCGGUCAUCGAUGGGGAUGCGUUCCAUUAGGUUGUUGGCGGGGUAACGGCCCACCAAGCCUUCGAUGGAUAGGGGUUCUGAGAGGAAGGUCCCCCACAUUGGAACUGAGACACGGUCCAA
rnacentral:rRNA from 1 species